UACGGGGGGGGCAAGCGUUGUUCGGAAUUACUGGGCGUAAAGGGCUCGUAGGUGGCCAACUAAGUCAGACGUGAAAUCCCUCGGCUUAACCGGGGAACUGCGUCUGAUACUGGAUGGCUUGAGUUUGGGAGAGGGACGCGGAAUUCCAGGUGUAGCGGUGAAAUGCGUAGAUAUCUGGAGGAACACCGGUGGCGAAGGCGGCGUCCUGGACCAACACUGACACUGAUGAGCGAAAGCCAGGGGGGCAAACGGG
rnacentral:rRNA from 1 species